UACGUAGGGUGCGAGCGUUGUCCGGAAUUAUUGGGCGUAAAGAGCUCGUAGGCGGUCUGUCGCGUCGGUCGUGAAAACUUGGGGCUUAACCCUGAGCUUGCGGUCGAUACGGGCAUGACUGGAGUUCGGCAGGGGAGACUGGAAUUCCUGGUGUAGCGGUGAAAUGCGCAGAUAUCGGGAGGAACACCAACGGCGAAGGCAGCACUCUGGGCUGGUACUGACGCUGAGGAGCGAAAGCGUGGGUAGCAAACAGG
rnacentral:rRNA from 1 species